rnacentral:lncRNA from 1 species
ACGCAACACACUACAGACGAUGUACAUGAAUUUCAUAGCAUUUUUAUGAACUUUAUUUGUACCUUCAUUUUUUUUGCAAACUGUUGCCUGUUCCUGCUACUUUUUCAGAUUGUUUUGUGAACUGAGUCUUCUCCGUUCCAGUGCUCCAUCUUCCUAUAAAUCCAUCUCUUUUUUUCCAUAAAUGUUGCAUCUAGUUUUUCCACAUCCUGCAAAAAAAUGAUCAAAUUUGAAAGAUUGUGGGAGUACAGGGGGCUGCCGGACCUGGAAGAGGAGAUCGUCGCAUUAGCAGCAGAGCCGGAUACUGGGAUAUAAGUAAAACAAACAAACUGAUUUUUCAAGUGCUCCUAUGAACUAAAUUUAAAUUAGAAAUUAAACAUAACUUAAAUUUUCAAGUGCUCCUAUGGGUAGUACACGCACAACCUGACAAGGCAAUGUACAAGUUCAUGUAAAAAGAACAACUAAGUUCAUGUACAGUAAACAUUAUAAGUUCACAAAGAAACCUAAAAAGAGUUUUGUACUAUAUCUGCUAUAACAACUAUAACAACCAAGUUAAUGUACACCAUGGGGUCGGACUGGGAGGACGCUGUGGAUCCUGGAGUGGUGGAGAGGGAGCUCAUGUCACUACUACAUUAAUUAUGGUACUAGAAGUUCAUGGAAUAUAAGUAACACAAACUAAUUGAUUUUUAAGUGCUCCUAUGAACUGAACCUAAAUUAGGAAUUGAACUGAACUUAAACGGUGGAAACUUAGGGUAAACCAGUCAGUUUAUAUGAACUAGUUCUGCUUGGACUGAUGUCUGCAUUCCACUUGGAUGGCUGCCAGUCACCAUGGUGGAAGAGCUCGUGGCCAAGUGUGGCCAAGGCGACCACCGGGAACUGUAGGUUCUUGUGCUUCUUCUCAGCAGCGAACUCACACAAGGUGGACGUGGUUAGGGGAAGCACGGUUCACGGGUGGCCUUCAUCUUGCAGCCGGAUACGGGCUGCUCGCGCUCGUGGACGCUGUCGACCGGACGCGGGGCAGCACCACUCGUGGACGGAGAUCAAUAGAAGCUUUUCCAGCACAACAUUCUCUAAUGCAAAUCUUCCUAGUAACCUCAUACAAUGCCACAAAUGCAUUAGCUCUGGUUUCAGCUGAAACUAAAUUUAGAUGAAAUGCGAGAAAAGCUGUUAGGAGGAUAAGAAACCAUUUUCCAAACAAGAAAAUAGACAAGUACAAGCACAAGUAUAGCAAGAGGAGUUGCUGGCAUGUUUAUGUGAAUGCGUAUGUUUGUUCAGUACACCAUGUUUAUGUUGUUCAGUACACCAUGUGAUGGAACUACAAACUUUUUUUCUCUCUGAAACAUGCAAGAUUCACACAAACAUCCUACAUUUCUAGCAUCAGAAAUUACUUGUCAUGAACUGACAGAUUUACACAAGUAGACCAACCAAUGGUGAAAUCUACUAAUCUACUGACUGUUUAAAAGAAUCAGUCAUUUGGUACGCAUCGGGGAUUCAUGUGUUUCGUUGUACUGAAUUCAAUAACCAAAAUGCAGAUUCAUACAAAAAACAUCCAAAAAGAAGUGUAAGCACCUAGGUGGAAUAAAGUUGAAGCCGACAGCCAUGGACUGCUGGUCGCGACGAACUCGACCACCCUAAUGCCAUGGGGUUGGACUGAGGACGGCACACAUGUGCCCUUGAUGACGGCAGAGAGCGCGGGCGACUACAACUACCAGCACUACAAAAACACAUAUUGACUCUGUAGGCAGAGACUACAACACACACACCCAUUCCUGAAUUGCAAAUUUGCAAUACAUAUUUACAUACUACAUCAAGGUGAUAUCUCUGUACUUCAAACUUUAUGGAAGGUGAACUCAUGAUUUUUCUUUUUGAACUUUGUUUCUUUUUUCUCCGAACUGGUACAAACUUCCACCACGUACUUGUGUGCAGUGGGGGCUCCAGUGUCAUGAGUAGAAAAGCAUCGCGAUUAAAACUGAAAAACUUCAAAUGGAGUUAGUAGUGGGCAUUUACCGAGCAGAUCAAAGGAGUUGGCCGGAGCAUCGAUACCAACCUGGACGUACCGGACGAGGGACUCGUCUUC